UGGGGAAUUUUGGACAAUGGGCGAAAGCCUGAUCCAGCAAUGCCGCGUGUGUGAAGAAGGCCUUCGGGUUGUAAAGCACUUUUGUCCGGAAAGAAAUCCUUGGCUCUAAUACAGUCGGGGGAUGACGGUACCGGAAGAAUAAGCACCGGCUAACUACGUGCCAGCAGCCGCGGUAAUACGUAGGGUGCAAGCGUUAAUCGGAAUUACUGGGCGUAAAGCGUGCGCAGGCGGUUUGCUAAGACCGAUGUGAAAUCCCCGGGCUCAACCUGGGAACUGCAUUGGUGACUGGCAGGCUAGAGUAUGGCAGAGGGGGGUAGAAUUCCACGUGUAGCAGUGAAAUGCGUAGAGAUGUGGAGGAAUACCGAUGGCGAAGGCAGCCCCCUGGGCCAAUACUGACGCUCAUGCACGAAAGCGUGGGGGAGCAAAACAGGAUUAGAUACCCUGGUAGUCCACGCCCUAAACGAUGUCAACUAGUUGUUGGGGAUUCAUUUCCUUAGUAACGUAGCUAACGCGUGAAGUUGACCGCCUGGGGGAGUACGGUCGCAAGAUUAAAACUCAAAUGAAUUGACGGGGUCAUAGCUGUUUCCU
rnacentral:rRNA from 1 species